UCCCCCAUGAUUUCCACCGAGACGCAGCCCACACAGGAGCUUCUCCAUGCCGCCGUGCAGGCCAUGUGCUGCUGCCGCCGCAUAGGGGGGCGGCUGCACCGUGCACUGUCGGAGGAAGGAGCGCUGCGUUUUCAGUUGGUCCAGGCCGCGACACCACCCGCCGGGAGAUAGUGGUCGAGGGCAUCGCCUCGCCGUUGUCAGGGUCUGCGACUUCGCCGAGGUUGCCGCCUGCGCGUGCAGGUUGCGGUUCUCGGGCGCUCUACGCCGGAGGACGUCCGCAUGCUGCGCAUCGGAAAUCGAGGCCGAGCAGAGCGUCGAGGGGGCGCCAACGCACCGCGUGCUCAGGAGCGCCGAGCGGUUGACGGCGAGCGUCACCGCGCCACACGUCGGGGCUGCCGUUGCCCUGCGCGUCUCCGCAUGAUGGAGGCAGGGAGUCGGUGUAAAGCGCCUGAGGGCCCGCCACCGUUUCCGACGCCAGAGGCCAAGCCGGUGGUGCCGGUGUUCCAGUCCAGUCCAUCAUGGGGCCGAGGCCAGACGAAGCCGAUGCCGUCGUCAUUGACGUUCUUGAUGGCCUGAUGGCGACGAGCGCCACCACCAAGUCCAGAGACGAUGGGUAUCGCUCUCAAAAAGGCAGUUAGAAAUCGAGAGAUUUCUGUCGUGACCGUGCACAGGGCGAGGCUGCCGCUUGGAAGCGCUUGCGCCGGGCUGAUGGCCGCGCCACCACUCCGAACCGAGGGCUGCGGUCGUUGAACUCGCGAACGAGGCUCGUAGCCAGGCGCCGAUAGAAUCGCUCCGCCGGAAGCGUGCUGAUAACGUGUUGGAACUAAUCGAGAGGCAAAUCGAGAGAGACAACAAUGAAUCGAACUGUAUAUUUUUAACAAUGAAUCGAACUGUAUAUUUUUAUUGAUGAUUGACACGAUAUAUAUACAAUGGUAACGGACACGAUGGUUCGCUA